GACGAACGCUGGCGGCGUGCUUAACACAUGCAAGUCGAACGGAAAGGCCCUGCUUGCAGGGUGCUCGAGUGGCGAACGGGUGAGUAACACGUGGGUGAUCUGCCCCUUACUUUGGGAUAAGCCUGGGAAACUGGGUCUAAUACUGGAUAGGACCAUGCUGUAGGUGGUGUGGUGGAAAGAUUAGUUUCGGUAAGGGAUGAGCUCGCGGCCUAUCAGCUUGUUGGUGGGGUAAUGGCCUACCAAGGCGUCGACGGGUAGCCGGCCUGAGAGGGUGGACGGCCACAUUGGGACUGAGAUACAGCCCAGACUCCUACGGGAGGCAGCAGAGGGGAAUAUUGCACAAUGGGCGCAAGCCUGAUGCAACGACGCCGCGUGGGGGAUGACGGCCUUCGGGUUGUAAACUCCUUUCAGCCAUGACGAAGCCCUUGUGGUGACGGUAGUGGUAGAAGAAGCACCGGCUAACUACGUG
rnacentral:rRNA from 1 species